rnacentral:rRNA from 1 species
GCAGUCGAGGGGCAGCACAUGAGUAGCAAUACGAUGGUGGCGACCGGCGCACGGGUGAGUAACACGUAUGCAACCUACCGGUAAAAGGGGGAUAGCCUCUCGAAAGAGAGAUUAAUACCGCAUAAUAUCUUUUGAUGGCAUCAUUUAGAGAUUAAACAUUUAUGGUUUACCGAUGGGCAUGCGUAUGAUUAGCUAGUAGGUGAGGUAACGGCUCACCUAGGCAACGAUCAUUAGGGGUUCUGAGAGGAAGGUCCCCCACACUGGUACUGAGACACGGACCAGACUCCUACGGGAGGCAGCAGUGAGGAAUAUUGGUCAAUGGGCGAGAGCCUGAACCAGCCAAGUCGCGUGAAGGAUGAAGGUUCUAUGGAUUGUAAACUUCUUUUGUAAGGGAAUAAAAAGUGGUACGUGUACCAUAUUGUAUGUACUUUACGAAUAAGGAUCGGCUAACUCCGUGCCAGCAGCCGCGGUAAUACGGAGGAUCCAAGCGUUAUCCGGAUUUAUUGGGUUUAAAGGGUGCGUAGGCGGACCUUUAAGUCAGUGGUGAAAGUUUGCGGCUCAACCGUAAAAUUGCCAUUGAAACUGAAGGUCUUGAGUGCAAAUGAGGUAGGCGGAAUGUGUUGUGUAGCGGUGAAAUGCUUAGAUAUAACACAGAACCCCGAUUGCGAAGGCAGCUUACUGGGAUGCAACUGACGCUGAGGCACGAAAGCGUGGGGAUCAAACAGGAUUAGAUACCCUGGUAGUCCACGCAGUAAACGAUGAAUACUAGCUGUAUGCGAUAUAUUGUAUGUGGCAAAGCGAAAGCGUUAAGUAUUCCACCUG